GUAGGUGCUCUGCUGUUCCUUCAGUCAAUGGCAGAUUUGGUGCUGGCUCAGCUGUUUGUUUUGAUGUUUUGGGAAGUAGAGGCACCUGAGUCUCUCUGCAGCUGACAGGAGAUACAAUGGUUCCGAGAUGCACCGUAAACCGUCCGUUCCUCUGCAUCAGAAUAAGCAGGGCUGAACGUCAGAAGAGUCUCAUCUCGUAAACACCAGUUUCUGUAGUUGUAAGGUGCCCAUUUGGGAUCUUUGAGACACCGUGUUGCGAUCAUCACGCUUUUUCCAUCGGCCGACCGCCUCUGUAAUACCCUUAAGGGCUGCGUAGAUGAUGAAGAGGAACCUGGCGACUGCAGGAACGUCCCAGUUGGCCGAUGUGUGACGUGCGCAUUGCUUAUUAUGGAUGGAUUCAGAUCCCCGGCCCUCUGAAAGCUAAGUUAUGGG